rnacentral:rRNA from 1 species
UCAAGCGAUAGGUAAGGGCAUUUGGUGAAUGCCUUGGCAAUCAGAGGCGAAGAAGGACGUGGUACACUGCGAAAAGUCACGGGGAGUUGUGAACAAGCAUUGAUCCGUGAAUAUCCGAAUGGGGAAACCCACAGAGCAAUCUGUACUGCAAUAUGAAUACAUAGUAUUGCAGAGCGAACGCAGGGAACUGAAACAUCUAAGUACCUGUAGGAAAGGAAAUCAACCGAGACUCCGAAAGUAGUGGCGAGCGAAAUCGGACCAGCCGAUGGAUUAUGAUAUAAGAAUCAGAAUUACCUGGAAAGGUAAGCCGUAGAGGGUGAUAGCCCCGUAAGAGUAGAAAGUAUUAUAAUUCUUGAGUAAGGCGGAGCACGAGGAAUUCUGUCUGAAAAUGGGGAGACCACUCUCCAAGGCUAAGUACUACUGAUUGACCGAUAGUGAACAAGUACCGUGAGGGAAAGGUGAAAAGCACCCCUAUAAGGGGAGUGAAAUAGAACCUGAAACCGGAUGCCUACAAGCAGUCGGAGGGAGAAGACUCCUGACGGCGUACCUUUUGUAUAAUGGGUCAGCGACUUAAUUUAUGUAGCAAGCUUAAGCCGGUAGGUGUAGGCGAAGAGAAAUCGAGUGUUAAUAGCGCGUUAAGUUACAUGAAUUAGACCCGAAACCGAGUGAUCUAGCCAUGAUCAGGUUGAAGGUUGGGUAACACCAACUGGAGGACCGAACCCACUCCCGUUGAAAAGGUAGGGGAUGAAUUGUGGCUAGGGGUGAAAGGCCAAUCAAACUCGGAAAUAGCUGGUUCUCCGCGAAAACUAUUUAGGUAGUGCGGUGAGCGGACACCUUGAGGGGUAGAGCACUGGAAGAGCUAAGGGGGAGCGAUCCUUACUAAACUUUACCAAACUCCGAAUACUCAAGAGUGAUACUCACCAGACAGACAUUAGGUGCUAAGGUCUAGUGUCGAGAGGGAAAGAGCCCAGACCGCCAAUUAAGGUCCCAAAAUUAUGGCUAAGUGGUAAAGGAAGUGAAACGUCCAAAACAGUCAGGAGGUUGGCUUAGAAGCAGCCAUCCUUUAAAGAAAGCGUAAUAGCUCACUGAUCUAAAUAAGACGUCUUGCGCCGAAGAUGUAACGGGGCUAAAGCCAUAUACCGAAGUUGCGGAUUUACACGUUAAAGUGUAAGUGGUAGCGGAGCGUUCUGUAAGCCUGCGAAGGUGUACCGUAAGGUAUGCUGGAGGUAUCAGAAGUGAGAAUGCUGACAUGAGUAGCGAAAAGAAGAGUGAGAGACUCUUCCGCUGAAAGUCCAAGGUUUCCUGCGUAAAGCUAAUCUGCGCAGGGUUAGUCGGUCCCUAAGGCGAGGCAGAGAUGCGUAGUCGAUGGCAAUCAGGUUAAUAUUCCUGAACCGGCCCGGAAGUGACGGAUUGAGUAAAUUGUAAGUUCUUAUUGGAUUGAGCUUGCAGUGAAUCAGUCCCAGGAAAUAGCCCGGGCUAAGACCGUACCCGAAACCGACACAGGUGGACAGGUAGAGAAUACCAAAGCGCUUGAGAGAACUAUGUUGAAGGAACUAGGCAAAAUACUUGCGUAACUUCGGGAUAAGCAAGCCCCAUUUUAAGGCAACUUAGGGUGGGGGGCACAUACUAGGGGGUAGCGACUGUUUACUAAAAACACAGGGCUCUGCUAAAUUGAAAGAUGAAGUAUAGGGUCUGACGCCUGCCCGGUGCUGGAAGGUUAAGGAGAGAUGUGCAAGCAUUGAACUGAAGCCCCAGUAAACGGCGGCCGUAACUAUAACGGUCCUAAGGUAGCGAAAUUCCUUGUCGGGUAAGUUCCGACCUGCACGAAUGGCGUAACGACUUCCCCGCUGUCUCCAACAUAGGCUCAGCGAAAUUGAACUCUGAGUUAAGAUGCUCAGUACCCGCGGUUAGACGGAGAGACCCCGUGAACCUUUACUAUAGCUUUGCAGUGGUAUUAGGUAACAAAUGUGUAGAAUAGGUGGGAUGCUAUGAAGCUACGACGCCAGUUGUAGUGGAGCAGACUUUGAAAUACCACCCUUUUGUUGUUUGAUAUCUAACCUGCUCCCGUUAUCCGGGAGAGGGACCCUGCAUGGUGGGUAGUUUGACUGGGGCGGUCGCCUCCCAAAGAGUAACGGAGGCGCGCAAAGGUUGGCUCAGAUUGGUCAGAAAUCAAUCGUUGAGUGCAAUGGCAUAAGCCAGCCUGACUGCGAGAGCGACGGUUCGAGCAGAUACGAAAGUAGGUCAUAGUGAUCC